rnacentral:rRNA from 1 species
AACGAACGCUGGCGGCAGGCUUCAUACAUGCAAGUCGAACGGGUGUAGCAAUACAUCAGUGGCGCACGGGUGCGUAACGCGUGGGAAUAUGCCCUUUGGUACGGGACAACAUCGGGAAACUGAUGCUAAUACCGUAUAAUAUCUGCGGAUCAAAGAUUUAUCGCCAAAGGAUUAGCCCGCGUUGGAUUAGGUAGUUGGUGAGGUAAAGGCUCACCAAGCCGACGAUCCAUAGCUGGUCUGAGAGGAUGAUCAGCCACACUGGGACUGAGACACGGCCCAGACUCCUACGGGAGGCAGCAGUAAGGAAUAUUGGACAAUGGAGGAAACUCUGAUCCAGCCAUGCCGCGUGAGUGAAGAAGGCCUCGGUU